rnacentral:misc_RNA from 1 species
GUUUGUAAACACUGUGGUUGUUGAAACCUUUUCGUCUAUUAAAGUGUUUAUCUAGCUUGGCCUUUUUUAGAUUGCAAUAAAAUGCCAAAUAUUAACUUUAAAGUAAGAUAUAUGUAAUAAUUUGUUGCUGUUAAAUACUUUCAGAUCCGAACAAUAUGAGUGGAGCUGUGUAUGGUGGAGAUGAAGUCGGAGCUUUAGUCUUAGAUAUUGGCCAGAAUACAAUUAGAGCAGGUUACGGUGGUGAAGACAGCCCUAAGUUAGAUAUACCAUCUGCAGUUGGUACAUGGACUGAAUCAAAUAAUGAUACAGAUGAUGUACAUUACAAAUAUAAUAUUGGUUUAACAGCAAUACAUGUUAAAAAACCAGAUAUGGAACUGGUUACUCUUUUAAAAGAUGGAAUGAUAGAAAAUUGGGAUAUUUUUGAGAAUGUACUUGAUUAUAUCUAUAAGCAAGGUUUAGGUGCAAUUCCAAGGGAUCACCCUAUGUUAAUCACAGAACCACCAUGGAUAACUAUUCCUAAAAGGGAACAAUUAGUUGAAAUGAUGUUUGAAAAAUAUAAAGUUCCUGCAUUAUACUUGGGUAAAAAUGCUGCUUUAGCUGCUUUUGCAAAUGGUCGUCCAACCUGUUUAGUUGUUGAUAGUGGUGCUACUCAUACUUCUGCUGUUCCUGUACAUGAUGGAUUUGUGUUAACACAAGCAGUUGUUAAGUCACCUGUAGGGGGUGACUAUAUAAGUCAACAGUGCAGAAAUUAUCUGGAAGAGAAAGGAAUUGAAAUAAUUCCUCCUUACAUGGUUGCAAGUAAAGAAAUCACAAAACCAGAUGAAGCCCCUAAUUGGCAAAAACGCUCCUCAUUACCUAAAGUUACUAAAUCAUGGCAUAAUUAUAUGAUUAAAGAAGUUAUGCAAGACUUCCAAGCUUCAGUUCUUCAAGUGUCUGAUAAUGUGUAUGAUGAAGAAGUUGUUAAAAGUAUGCCAGCAAUACACUAUGAAUUUCCAAAUGGUUUUCAUAAGGAUUUUGGCGUGGAGCGUUUUAAAAUUCCAGAACCACUUUUUAAUCCAACUGCAGGGGCCAAAGCUGGAAUUCAGCCCAUUCUUGGGGUAGGCCCAUUAGUUACAACGAGUGUUGGAAUGUGUGACAUGGAUAUUAGACCUGCCAUGUAUGGUAAUGUUGUGGUUACUGGAGGCAAUUCAAAUCUGCAAGGUUUUACGGAACGGCUUAAUCGAGAUUUGGCUGCUAAGACUCCACCUAUAUUUAUGGAGACGUUUACUUAAGUGGACAUCAGCCUGAAUCCUUCCGUGUUGAAGCAAUGCUUGAUUAGCAGUACCUGUGCUUUCGUGGUGGUUAUAUGUAUGGGUAAAGUAAAAAAUUAUGCAGAAAGGAAAUACCAUUUUUCAUAAAAAUCGUAUUCGAAUAAUUUAGAAAAGCUGCCUUGUUUGAUUGCAAAUUUUAAAAUGCCUACUUUUAUAAGAUACACUACUAUAAGUGUAUAGUAUUUGGAACUUAAAAAAUGUUCAAUUUAUAUCCAAAAUGAUAUCUGAAAAAAACAGUCUUAUUAAUUUAUUUCAAUAUUUUGUUUUAUAAUAAUUCACACAUUGAGAUGAACUUUGUUACUAAAAAAACAAACAUCAAGUACCUUUUUUACAUUUUAAUUAGCCGCAAUACAGCUUCUAAAGCCAUUGCAUUCAAAAUUCGAUAGCACAUUAUAUUAUCAUUUAAAACUGCUAAUAUAAUCUAUUUACUAACUUAAUUUCCUUACAUCUAUCUGUUUUGGGUAACAACCAUCCCAUCACAAAAUUACUUAAAUAGAAAAUACACUUUCAAAGUAGAGUACCUACCUAAUUAUAGUUUAAUUAUUUCAUUGCACAUCUUAGAUUGAAAGCGUAUUUGUUAUUUGAUUAAUUUUGUCACUCUAUCAGAAAUUGGGUCCAGCUGAUUUCUAAGAAGCUAAAGAAGGAUUUGUGUCUGUAACAGUAAGAAAUCAACUCCCCAUCAACUUUCGAAAUUCAGGAAUUUACCUUCACAUUAAAAGAAGUGGAUCCAGAUCCUGCCAGUUUGCCACCGUCGUAUUUAUGGAGCUAAUUUGAAGGAAAGUAGAUGUACCUUUACAACAAGGAGAAAUCACCUAAAUCUUCGAAUUAUAUUUUUGUAAAUUUCAGAUACCUGAUUAGUGACUUGAAAAUUAAAUACUUCUUAAGAAAUAAGUUAUUUAAUAACACUUUCAAAGAUUUGUUUGCAUUUGAGGAAACUUUUAAUUUAUAAAUUUAAUUAAGUAACUACUUUUUUGAAAAUGCAUUUUAUUUAAAGUUAGUUCUAAAUAUUAACUUAAGACGUUUUUGUAUUUAAUAAAAGUGAUAUAUCUUGUUUUGCUUACGUAGUAUAAGCCCCAGAAUAAUGGUAUAAUUUAAUAUAUUUGUGUAUUUAUUUAAUGAAACUAAUAUAUACUGUGUAGCUUACUUAGCAUAAGUCGUAGAAUAAUGCAUUAAUUUAAGAUAUUUUUCUUUAUUUAACAAAACUUAUAACGUGUUGCUUACUUACUAUAAGACGUAGAAUAAUGCAUUAAUUUAAGAUAUUUUUCUGUAUUUAAUAAAACUUAUAACUUGUUGCUUAUUUAGUAUAAUCCUUAGAGUAACAUAAUUUUAGAUAGACUAAGUAGCUAGUUAUAAUUAGUUUAAUAUAUUUCUGUAUUUAAUAAAAUUGACUUAACCGUGUUACUUAACUUAGCAUAAGGAGUAGAAUAAUAUAAUUUUAGAUAGAUUUUAAGUAUUAUUAAACGUACAAAUGUGUUAUUAUUAAUACGGUAACCUCUGAAAUUUCGUAAAACAUUCAUAUCAAUAAACCUACUCGUUUUUCUGUUGUAUGUUGUAUGUAUUAUAUAUUAUGCAGUUAU